CUGCUCUCCAGGCAUAAGAGAAAGGCAACCUGUGACUGCUUGUGGAGGGAGUGGGACGGGCUGUGAAUAUUGUUUCUGUAGGUGGUGAGUACACCCAUUGGGUGCAGGCAGAUGCCCUCCAUGUAAGAGGAGCAUUUCAAGGACAAGGCGCUGUGGGUUUUGGCAGAGAAUCUCUGAAGCACCGUGGCAAACUCAAGAGUAAAGAAUGUGGUUUGGAAACCAUUGCAUUGAGAGCAUUUCCAGAGAUUUCAGAUCGCCAGCAACAGCAGCAGCAUUUUGGGAGUGAAGUCACCAAAGCUGCACAUGCUUCAUUUCCACAGGAAUCCAGAUGUGGGACUCUUAUGGUCUGAUUGCCGAGCAGGGGGAUCAGGAGCAUGGAUCGUGUGUCCUGCAGAAAGACAAUGCCGGCAUUCAAAAAUGUUCACCACGGAAAUAUUUUUGAUGAUGUUGACCGUGAGCACUUCAUCGGGCUCCUCUGCUGACUUUUCAGUGCAUUAAUCCCGAGUUCUUCAGGCCC